UACGUAGGGUGCAAGCGUUUGUCCGGAAUUAUUGGGCGUAAAGAGCUCGUAGGCGGUUUGUUGCGUCGGCUGUGAAAUCCCGAGGCUCAACCUCGGGUCUGCAGUCGAUACGAGCAAACUAGAGUGUUGCAGGGGAGACUGGGAAUUCCCGGUGUAGCGGUGAAAUGCGCAGAUAUCGGGGAAGAACACCUAUGGCGAAGGCAGCUCUCUGGGACGGUACUGACGGCUGAGACGCGAAAGCGUGGGGAGCGAACAGGGAUUAAGAA
rnacentral:rRNA from 1 species